rnacentral:rRNA from 1 species
UACGUAGGGUGCAAGCGUUGUCCGGAAUUAUUGGGCGUAAAGAGCUCGUAGGCGGUCUGUCGCGUCGGAUGUGAAAAUCCAGGGCUCAACCCUGGACCUGCAUUCGAUACGGGCAGACUAGAGUUCGGCAGGGGAGACUGGAAUUCCUGGUGUAGCGGUGAAAUGCGCAGAUAUCAGGAGGAACACCGGUGGCGAAGGCGGAUCUCUGGGCCGUAACUGACGCUGAGGAGCGAAAGCAUGGGGAGCGAACAGG